ACUUUAUUAAGACCCCAAACAGCAGAAUAUCCUGUAUAAGACAACUGGGAAUGUCUGGGCAUGUCUACCAUGAAAGCGUCAGUGUUUUACCGUGGAAGAAAAUAUGCUAUGGCGUAUGUUAUGCUGUCUGUACGGGAUUCCAAACAGUUAUAACUGUACUAAAACACCUCUGAAGGACUAUUACUUCUCGCAUUAUAUAUGCAAAGGACACUACUCUCACAUCCAUAAGUUUGAAUAUGGGACGAUUUCACUCGGAUUGCAAAAUUCGGAUAAGCGAGGUGUCAAUGUGUAUUGUUAACUAUACAUGUGUGGACGUAAUUGCCACUAGUCUAAAACCGUGGUACGAUAUGGUUUUUCAAAAUUUAUCCGGCAACAAGCAUUGACAUUUACAACCUGAAACAUUGUACGUGCAAUUCAUUGGUUUGUACAUUAUGUUCCGACACUACCUGUGAAGGUACUGAGGCGGAUGUAGACCCGGCACCUGACUAUGUGAGGUGUUGGAUGAUGAUGCGUCUCUAUGAUAAAUAUCAGCCUGUCAGUAGGUGCAGGAUCAUUUGCAGAGACACGGAGAAAGGUGAGUUGUAUUUCUGCUACCACGAACAUCCGUUAUGCUUAACUUGUUUAAAUCAUUCAUCGUGCAUCAACAUGUCAGUUAUAACCAACGACGAUGUAUAGGUUUUAAAGAUAAAGAAUGAUCAAAUUGGUGUAAUUACUCUCUGUGGAUUAUUCAGGCUCAGUUGGAUUUCGAAAUGAUGGAUAAUAGACAUUGAACAUUAUGAGAUUUUACUGUUGCAUUUAUAAAAUCGCUGGAUGUUAAAGGAAAGCGCAGUUGGUAUAUAAAGUGAAACUAGCUAACAUUAUGAGACCUUACUAUUGCAUUUAUAAAAACGAUGGAUGUUAAC